AAAAAAAUAUACAAGUAAGAUAAUAAGGCCUUCAUAUUUUACUUUUUUUAAAUUAUAUGAAGAAAGGAGUUCUUAUAAGACUACUCUUGCAAUGUAUAUUGCUGAUAUAUGAAGUUUUUUAGGUCCAUGACUUGUCUAUGUAACAAGCAAAUAAACUCUGAAAAUUUCGAACGAAUUAAUUCAGUAUGAACAGUUGGAGAGUUUUUAGUAUUUCGCAAAAUGCUCAUGUGAGAAAAGCGAUUUUAAAGUUUUUGCAUAUAUUAGAAUAACUUAGAUAGAACAAUAUAAUUGAAAAUGGAACAAUAGACUAAACCAAUCGCAUAUCUUUAUCGCUCCGGGUAAGAUCGUGGUUUUACCCUACGAAGGUGUAGAAUUUGCUGGAUUUCUCUCGUUUACGGUACAUUUUCGUUCUUAAAAUUACACGGAUUUUAUAAAGAACGCUAUAAAGACUACAUUUUUACGUUUUUCUAAAAAAUAACGAAUAUUGGAAAAUUUGGGCGGAAGACCACCUUAAUCAUUGAUUAGUAGCGACGGGUAUGUCUAACCAAACCUUUUCUAAUGUUGAUAAAAGCAAUUCUAAUACGCACAAACAAACUGAUUUCAACUUACCUAAACACAGAGGCUUCAAAAUUGCUUUUCUAAACAUUGCAAGUUUACCCAAGCAUAUCGAUGAAUUAAUAUUAAACAUGCAACAUCAAUAUUUAGAUAUACUGGUCUUAAACGAAACUCGUCUUGAUGAAACUAUUAGUAAUUCUGAAAUAUCAAUUGAUAAAUAUACUUUAGUUAGGAACGAUCGAAUACGACACGGAGGCGGUGUAGCUAUAUGUAUAUCAGAAAUUCAAUUAAUUUUAAUCUCAGAAAUGAUCUUCAUGAUGAAGCCCUUGAGUUUCUGUGCGUUGAGAUCAGUAAACCUAAAGUUAAACCACUUCUAAUAUCAACGUGGUACAGACCUCCUAAUUCUUGCACGGAUCUCUUUGACAAACUUCAGGUAAUUUUAGAUAAAAUCGAGUUCCUUGGUAUUGAAAAUAAUAUCAUUGGUGAUUUAAAUUGUAACAUGAGUGCAUCUAUUGCAGAUAAUAAUACUAAACAUUUACUUGAACUAAAUGAGUCAUAUCAAUAUACUCAACUUAUUAAGGAGUCAACUAGAGUUACAAAUAGUUCAUCCACGUUAAUCGAUCUCUUUCUUACUAAUGAACCGAACAACUUUACUUCUGCGGGCGUUAUAGUUCUAGGUAUCAGCGGCCAUAACUUAAUUUAUGCUAUCAGAAAACACUCUAGUGUUAAAUCUAAGCCUAUAACAAUCAAAUCCCGCAGUUAUAAAAAUUUUGAUGAAACUUCAUUCAAGCAUGACAUUGAUGCUAUUUCUUGGCAGUACAUAGUUUCCUUAGAUGAUCCUAUAAAUGCUUGGC